GCCCGUGGGUGAGGCGGGGGCCACGUGUGGGUUAGGGCUGGUUCCCUUAUUGUCUUUGGCAUGGUUUAUGGAAAAGUCAGAGAGAACGAAUUUCAAAUGAUGGGUCAAAACUCAAGGUCUGAAACACAUUUAUUCCAUCCUGGAGGUCUCCUGUAUUCAUGGAAAUAAUUCUGAUAACUUGAACUUUAAUCCCAUUUUGCAGGUAUAUUACCCAUAGAGCCCCAUGUAAAAAUAUUUUUAUUGCGGCAUUUGCCAUGCACUGAAUCUUUUAGAGUUUUGUCUAGUUAUGGAGGGAAGUUAAAAUUGGUUGUAAAUGAUUCCCCUAAUUUCUGUUUUGCUUUCCAUUUCUUUUCUGGUUGUGCAGAGUCCAGGAACUUGCUCUUAUGCAGUGGUCAGGAUGGGAUCUAUCUUCAGUAAACUGGACAGAGUGAGUGACAAUCAUGUCUCCCGUUGUGGGAAUCUGCAGGGCUGAAGACACUGCUGGACUGGACACAUGGGGAGCCUCCAUACAACAACUGCAAAGUUCUGCUGGUGUGUAAGAAACCCAGAGGAAGAAAACACUUAGAGGCAUGUAGACGGCAGAUGAACCCCUUUCCAUGUUGGUGACCAAGGCCAAAGGCAAUUUUGAAAUCCGCUUCACCAUGACAAUACUUUCUUUUUAUCUCCAACAAAUUUUGACAAGUAUAACUGAAAGAAGCAUCCAGAAAUGCAGCAAGAGAGACCUGGCAUAGACUGUUCUCCUGCUUAGCCAUCAGCAUCUCAUCAGCAGAAAGGUGAGACAUCCAGCCCUAUAAACACAGGAUAAUCACGGAGUCGUCUCGGUUCUCCCACGUGGCACCAAUUAAACUCAUUUCAAAAGCAGGCUGGGAAAUGUGGUGGCUAGUUUUUACACAUAUUUUAAAUUUAGAAACUUAUUUGUGUGUGUGUGCUCACACUUGAGUGUGAGUGUGUGUGUGUGUGUGUGUGCUCCAGCUUGGGUGUGUGUGGUCCUGGUUUUGUGUGCUUGUACUUGUAUGUGUGCAUGAACAUAUAUGUUAUCACACAAAAGUAGAGGUCAAGAAAAGGUUUCAGGAGGAGUCGGUUCUCUCCUUCCACUGUGGGCCUCAGAAUUGAAUUCACGUCUUCUGGCUUGGGCAGCAAGUGUGCUCACUAGCUGAAAACCAUCUUGCUGGUCCACACAGUUUUCAGGACCCACAGAAACUAUUUAAACUCCCAAGUGCCUUAAUCCCACCCACCUGAAG
rnacentral:lncRNA from 1 species